UACGUAGGGUGCAAGCGUUAAUCGGAAUUACUGGGCGUAAAGCGUGCGCAGGCGGUUUUGUAAGUCUGUCGUGAAAUCCCCGGGCUCAACCUGGGAAUUGCGAUGGAGACUGCAAGGCUAGAAUCUGGCAGAGGGGGGGUAGAAUUCCACGUGUAGCAGUGAAAUGCGUAGAGAUGUGGAGGAAUACCGAUGGCGAAGGCAGCCUCCUGGGCCAACACUGACGCUCAUGCACGAAAGCGUGGGGAGCAAACAGG
rnacentral:rRNA from 1 species